CCUGUGAGAUCUUGUGUUGCAGCGUGGUUUGGCCCUAGCGUUCUUGCAUGCUAACCUAAGGUAGAAGAUUAGCAGCCUGUUUGCAUGCAGCCGGAUGCUGCCCCUGACGUGAAGCAUGUUCUGGGAGGUUGACCCAAUCUCCUUUGGCUGUGGCCUCAUUCACCCCGUCCUGUCUGUGGCCUCAUUCACCGUGAUAUUAGGUUGAAAAAGCUGGUUGAUGAACGGGAAUGCUUAUUGGAACAGAUUAAGAAACUCAAAGGGCAGCUGGAGGAGAGACAGAAGAUUGGCAAACUAGACAAUCUUCGAUCUGAAGAUGAUGUGUUGGAAAACGGGACAGACGUGCAUGUAAUGGACCUACAAAGGGAUGCCAACAGACAGAUCAGCGACCUCAAAUUUAAACUUGCAAAAUCUGAGCAAGAGAUAACUGCAUUAGAACAAAAUAGUGAAGGUGUCCAGUAGGCCUUCGCUGCUGCUGUCUUUCAUCUCAGAACCUUGGCUGGGGAAUGCCAUGCUGAAGCCACCUCCUUUCACUCCUCACCCUGUGCCUUCCUCCUCCCAACCCCACCACCCCAGGAGAGAUUAGACUGGAGCUGAGGUCCUGGCGGAACCCGUCCCUUACCAGCACCAUUCUGCCUGUUCCAACAGAACAGCCCCAUGCAGCGGGAGAAGAAGCAGGCAGCAAGGUGCCAGCACUGCGGAAACCACCCUGGUGGACGGGGUCACGGGAAAUGGGUCCCCAUCAUGUCAGCACAGGGUCACCCAGAAAUAAGAACUAAUAAUAGCUUGCUUGGCUCAAACCCACACCAUAGUCCAAA
rnacentral:sRNA from 1 species